rnacentral:pre_miRNA from 1 species
CGAUGUCACCACCUCUAUUAGCAGGGAGGACGGGGUUGUCGGAUCCAAUGGCCCCAACCUCUUUGCUGGUGGAUCUGGCUGGCUGAA